GGUUGCUGCAUCAGAACUAGCUCCACAGGAGAGCACACCACACGCAGCAAACGCGAAUAACAGAACAAGGAUCAUCGCGACAGUGUCUGCACUGUCUGCAGGAGUGGUGAUUGCGGUCCUAACCGUAGUCUUGUUUAUGCGAAGGAAGAAAAAGCUGAAGGGAUUGCUGACACACCACCACUCAGAUAGCUUUUCUGAUUGUCAAAGUAGC